UACGUAGGGUGCAAGCGUUAAUCGGAAUUACUGGGCGUAAAACGUGCGCAGGCGGUUAUGCAAGACAGAUGUGAAAUCCCCGGGCUUAACCUGGGAACCGCAUUUGUGACUGCAUAGCUGGAGUACGGCAGAGGGGGAUGGAAUUCCGCGUGUAGCAGUGAAAUGCGUAGAUAUGCGGAGGAACACCGAUGGCGAAGGCAGUCCCCUGGGCCUGUACUGACGCUCAUGCACGAAAGCGUGGGGAGCAAACAGG
rnacentral:rRNA from 1 species